rnacentral:rRNA from 1 species
UGCGUAGGUGGUUUCUUAAGUCAGAGGUGAAAGGCUACGGCUCAACCGUAGUAAGCCUUUGAAACUGGGAAACUUGAGUGCAGGAGAGGAGAGUGGAAUUCCUAGUGUAGCGGUGAAAUGCGUAGAUAUUAGGAGGAACACCAGUUGCGAAGGCGGCUCUCUGGACUGUAACUGACACUGAGGCACGAAAGCGUGGGGAGCAAACGA